GCGAGCGUGGUGGAACUGGCAGACACGCCGGGUUUAGGUCCCGGUGGACGAGAGUCCGUGGGAGUUCGAAUCUCCCCGCUCGCACCC
rnacentral:tRNA from 1 species